rnacentral:snRNA from 1 species
UCAGGAUUAGGUGUAUGUAU